CUCCUCAUCUUUUCAGACAAAAAAUUUGUGACGCCCCAUUUUUUCGGAGGAUUAUCCAUUUCAAGACUACUCCCGUUCUAAUACGUUUAAUUUUUUCAAUUUUUUGGACCUAGUCAGUACCUAAAAUGUUUAAACCGGGUUAAGAGUUUUAGCUCUAUUAUAUUUUAUAUAUAGGACCAUAUGGACUCUCACAAAAUUACAUCGGAAUCCCUCAACUCUUUCAUUUUUUAACCAACA
rnacentral:lncRNA from 1 species